GCGCUUGCUUUGGCAGCACGUAUACUAAAAUUGGAAUGAUACAGAGAUGAGUAUGGCCCCUGUGCAAGGAUGACAUGAAAACCUGUGAAGCCUUCCAUAUUUUU